GUCAGCCUCCAUGGUUGACAGUGCGAGCGAAAACACUCUCCUGGAAUACUAGUACCUUUUGCAAAUACUUGACGUGACAUCCAACGUUUUAGAUGAAGCAUACAUAAUUUUAACAAAAAUGAAUUCAACACUUCUAAAAUGUACCAAGACGGGGAGAAAAAUUGCAAAUUUGCACCGUGUGAAAAUUCACGUUGGAAGGGAGUGUCUAAAUUCCGACAAUCUCCGGACCGUAAAGUUGAGACGUGUUGUUGUGACGGGUUUAGGUUUGGUGACAUGUCUUGGGGUUGGAUCCAGACAUGUGUGGGACAGAAUCAUUAAAGGACAGUGUGGAAUCAGUACAAUCAAGGGACCAGGCUAUGAGAAUGUUCCUUGCAAGGUAGCUGGUUUUGUUCCAAGGGGAAGUAAUCCUGGAGAUUUGCGUCUUGAAGACUACAUGUCCGUCCAAGAGCAGCGUAUCAUGUCUCAGGGUUGUGCAUAUGCACUUGUUGCUACAGAAGAAGCACUGACAGAUGCAGGCUGGGAGCCAAACACCGAGGAGGAGAAGAAUUCCACUGGGGUCGCCAUUGGGAUGGGGAUGGUAGGUAUGGAGGAGACCUACAACACUGGCGUCACACUACGGGAGCGAGGCUAUAGCAGGGUCAGUCCCUUCUUCAUGCCCAAAAUCCUCAUCAACAUGACAGCAGGCAAUGUCAGUGUCAAGUACGGCCUCCAGGGCCCAAACCAUUCAGUGUCGACAGCCUGCACCACAGGACUACAUGCUGUAGGUGAUGCGUUCCGGUUUAUACAGCGUGGGGAUGCUGAAGUAAUGGUGGCUGGCGGGGCAGAGGAGAGUCCAAACCCUCUCUCUGUAGCUGGCUUCUCAAGGAUGAGGGCACUGAGCACAAAAUUCAAUGACAAUCCUCACAAGGCCUCCAGGCCAUUUGACAAAGACAGGGACGGGUUUGUCAUGUCGGAAGGAUCUGGCAUCCUCGUGUUGGAGGAGCUUGAACAUGCGUUGGGGAGAGGGGCGGACAUUUAUGCGGAGAUUUUGGGUUAUGGUUUGUCUGGUGAUGCUAAUCACAUGACUGCUCCACAGGAAGACGGUUCCGGGGCGUACAGGUGCAUGGUGGCUGCUCUGAAGGAUGCACAAAUUUCUAAAAGUGACAUUGGAUAUAUAAACGCUCACGCCACCUCCACACCUUUAGGGGAUCUGGCAGAGAGCAGAGCCAUCUGGCGGCUGUUCGGAGAGACAAAUCCAGAGGUUUUGGUGUCAUCUACCAAAGGUGCCACUGGACAUCUGUUAGGUAGCGCAGGCUGUGUGGAAGCUAUGUUUGCUGUGAUGGCCUGUCAUGGUGGGAAAAUACCACCGACAGUUAAUCUGUGUGAAUCAGAUACUGGGCUCCCAUUAAAGUAUGUUACGCAAAACUCUGUAGACUGGCCAUCAGGGUCAGCAAGACGCUUAGCAGUCACAAACUCUUUUGGAUUUGGAGGUACAAAUGGCAGUCUGUGCAUUGGAAGCUUUAAUAAAAACUGACGUGUUAGAAAUAUGUUUUAUUCAUCUUAAUUAAUUCCAUUUAUCCAGAAUUCUUUGCUUGAAGAAAGGCAGUCUGAUUAAAAUCAUCUGUUACAUGGCUUUGUUAACUUCAUACUAUACCAGUCCUGUUCAAAGUCCUGUAGUACAAAGUUAAUGAAACAAUGUAAGAUUUUAAUCAGAACGGUAGGAAGGUUCAUGUAGCACAAUCAGCAAAGAGUUUAAGUGUGACGUUUCGAUGACUAAAUUAGGACAGCUGCUAAAUGUAAAACCACUGUCAGGGAAUUUCCUACAACUUUUUUCCUGGGUCCGGGGUCCAUGUUAUUGGGAAUUUUUCACACAGUAAAAUGCAAAAUUGCACAAUUUUUUCCAGAAAUUGACCAUCACAUUUCUUGCACCUUCCAAUUUGGAAUUUUAUGACAACAAAUUGGGAAUUAUAGCCAAAUAAUUUUCCACGGGGAAAGCGGUCAUUAUUUGUCCCAAAAUGUUAUUGUAGUAAAAUGCCUGUCUGGUUUCUUACUGUAGGCCUAAAUCGUGAUAUGGGUAUAUAUACGUAACUUGUAUGUAUAUUGUUAAUCGUGAUAUGGAUAUAUAUACGUAACUUGUAUGUAUAUUGUUAAUCAUGAUAUGGGUAUACAUACGUAAUUUGUAUGUAUAUUGUUAAUCAUGAUAUGGGUAUAUAUACGUAACUUGUAUGUAUAUUGUUAAUCAUGAUAUGGGUAUAUAUACGUAACUUGUAUGUAUAUUGUUAAUCAUGAUAUGGGUAUAUAUACGUAACUUGUAUGUAUAUUGUUAAUCAUGAUAUGGGUAUAUAUACGUAACUUGUAUGUAUAUUGUUAAUCAUGAUAUGGGUAUAUAUACGUAACUUGUAUGUAUAUUGUUAAUCAUGAUAUGGGUAUAUAUACGUAACUUGUAUGUAUAUUGUUAAUCAUGAUAUGGGUAUAUAUACGUAACUUGUAUGUAUAUUGUUAAUCAUGAUAUGGGUAUAUAUACGUAACUUGUAUGUAUAUUGUUAAUCAUGAUAUGGGUAUAUAUACGUAACUUGUAUGUAUAUUGUUAAUCAUGAUAUGGGUAUAUAUACGUAACUUGUAUGUAUAUUGUUAAUCGUGAUAUGGGUAUAUAUACGGAACUUGUAUGUAUAUUGUUAAUCGUGAUAUGGGUAUAUAUACGUAACUUGUCUGGUUUCUUACUGUAGUCCUAAAUCAUGACAUGGGUACAUAUAAGUAACUUGUAUGUAUAUUGUUAAUCAUGAUAUGGGUAUAUAUACGUAACUUGUAUGUAUAUUUUUUAUCGUGAUAUGGGUAUAAAUACGUAACUUGUAUGUAUAUUGUUAAUCGUGAUAUGGGUAUAUAUACGUAACUUGUAUGUAUAUUGUUAAUCGUGAUAUGGGUAUAUAUACAUAACUUGUAUGUAUAUUGUUAAUCGUGAUAUGGGUAUAUAUACGUAACUUGUAUGUAUAUUGUUAAUCAUGAUAUGGGUAUAUAUACGUAACUUGUAUGUAUAUUGUUAAUCUUAGCACACAAAUGUGUUAAUGUAAUAAUAAUAAGAACAUCUCACUUACAGGGAAUUUCAGUCUAAAACGCUAUAUUUUGUUUUAUUGCUACAAAAUCUGUCAGCAGUAUAUGUUUUAUGCCCAGUAGCAUAGGGUGCUAUUAGUGUGUCUGUUAUUAUGUCAAUGUACCAGCCCACACUACCAGUGGGAUAGUGGUGAGUGACAAUUAUAAUGAUGUUUAUAUCUCUAGGUCUGUUAGUAUGUCAAUGUACCAGCCCACACUACCAGUGAUAUAGUGGUGAGUGACAAUUAUAAUGAUGUUUAUAUAUUUAGGUCUGAUAUUGUUAUUGGGUUAUUUAUGAAUUGUUUGAGUGUAUAUAUAUAUCUGUUAGGCAGUAUGGAUAUCCAUAUCUGAAGUCUAGUUGAAACAGAUGUCAGAUGUAAUUAUAGAUUCUUGUGAACAAACUUUUCAUGUGAUGAAUAGUUGAAUCUUUCAUACGACUUUGUCCAAAAUUUGUUCUCAAAAAAUUCUGAAUAUGUGUCUACAAAUUUUCUAAAAGAUAACAAAAACUAAUAUUUCCUUUCACAUUUAUUUCCAAGAAUACAACAAGUGACUUGGCAUCAAUAUCAAUAUAAAUAGUAAAAUUAAUUUGACAGCAAAACAAAGUCUAUCACAGUCUUACGGUAACUAUAUAUAUAUCACAGUUAUAAAAAUAUACUCUGGAAUUCCAGUCUUUGUAAGAUUUAGCACUGACAGCAUGUGAUCCAAGGGAGUGUUAUUACCAAUAGAUGAAAAUCCUUAAAGACAAUCGGAAACUUACAAAUCUCACCUAACAAUCCAAAUUCUUUAACAUUAAUGCCAUAAGUGACAUUAUUUAUUUAGAAAAAUGCAUGUUAUUCAGAGUUCUUCAAAUAGCCAUAAUAUAGAAAUGUAAAUUAAAACUGUCGUUCAGUGGUUUAAUAAUAAAUAUGCUAUGAUAUUGGUUUCAUUCCUACAUUCCUGUGGAAAGUUGUAACUCUUGUCACUUCCUUGAUUUAAGAAUAAAUAAUUAAAUCUUGUGUUAAUUUUGGAUUUUGUGUCGAUUAUGAAAUUUGUGACACCAAUGCAAUAGCUAGAGGGGCCAAAAUAGAAUGUGUUUCUGAAAUUAGGAUGACAGGAUGUUGUCAGACAA
rnacentral:misc_RNA from 1 species